GACGUAGGUGGCAAACGUUAUCCGGAAUUAUUGGGCGUAAAGGGUGCGUAGAUGGCCUGAUAAGUUAGCAGUGGGGAAAUCGAGGCUCAACCUCGUGGAAGCUGGUAAUACUGUCAGGCUCGAGUGCAGGAGAGGUUAACGGAACUCCAUGUGGAGCGGUAAAAUGUGUAGAUAUAUGGAAAGAACACCAAUAACGGCGAAGGCAGUUAACUAUUUCUGUUACUGACAUUGAGGCACGAAAAGCGUGGGGGAGCAAAAACGGG
rnacentral:rRNA from 1 species